GGUAAUCGAAUUAUCUUCCAAAUGUGGUUAACGGGUAGAAAAGGGGUAAACAAACAACCACGUCUGUAUUUAUAUAUACGUAUUUGAAACUUAACUGAAACAAUGUUAGUAUGGGUCACCUUCGUAUGCGAUAAUAAAUGGAGAAAUGGGUUUAUAGUGCUGUAAAUCUAUUGUAGUGGGAAAUAUUGUGAACGUGUGUAUAAAAAUCUUUUAAAGUGGGUGGGGCAAGCUACCCUGCCAGCCACGGCUCACCACUUUCCCCUGAAAAUCAAACGAUUCACCAACACAUACCCAACUUUUUUGUCAUCUCACCCACACACUCAAAAGUUGUCGAAAACAAUUUCCAUAAGUAAGAGCAGCGUAGCUAAUACGAAUUCGCAAUCUUAUUAGAACUAAAUGCGUUAGAGCGAGCAAGUGAAAGUAAGGCGAAAUUUGGCAGCGAAUUUCAAAUUUGAUACUAGUAGGCUGCGAAGAAAAAUAUCAAUUUCGCGCGAAAUUUUGGAGGUAAGAGGAAUUUGUCAAUUGUAGUUUUUCUUUUAUAAAAUAUAUAUUUUAUAUAUCCCAACAUCAGGAGCGAUCAAAACCCAACAUCUGGAGCCAUCAAAACCUUGAAGAUUGCCAAACAUCUGCAAGACAUCCACAGCACACUGAACACCAUUGGUCACCAACAGCUCUCAACAUUGUUCGGUCGUGGAAUACAGACAGUAGAAGUCAGCGGAGAUUAGAUAUAUAUAUAAAUUUUAUCUCUAAU